GCUCGCGUAGCCCAACUGGAAGAGGCGCCUGACUUAGAAUCAGGAGGUUGAGAGUUCGAAUCUCUCCGCGAGUA
rnacentral:tRNA from 1 species